AUAAAGUUUCCAGGUGUUCGCUAAGACAGGUGUGAAUCCCCGGGCUUAACCUGGGAACUGCGCUUGUGACUGGCGGGCUAGAGUACGGCAGAGGGGGGUGGAAUUCCACGUGUAGCAGUGAAAUGCGUAGAUAUGUGGAGGAACACCGAUGGCGAAGGCAGCCCCCUGGGCCUGUACUGACGCUCAUGCACGAAAGCGUGGGGAGCAAACAGGAUUAGAUACCCUGGUAGUCCACGCCCUAAACGAUGUCAACUAGUCGUUCGGAGCGGUAACGCACUGAGUGACGCAGCUAACGCGUGAAGUUGACCGCCUGGGGAGUACGGCCGCAAGUUAAAACUCAAAGGAAUUGACGGGGACCCGCACAAGCGGUGGAUGAUGUGGAUUAAUUCGAUGCAACCGAAAAACUUACUUCCCUGACAUGCAAGGAUCUUGGGAGAGCCGAGAGUGCCUUCGGAGCUGGAACAGUGCUGAUGGUGUCGUCAGCUCGUGUCGUGAGAUGUGGGUAAAGCCCGAACGACCCAACCCUUGCCACUAAUUGCCAUCAUUCAGUGGGCACUUUAGGGGCUGCCGUACAAACCGGAGAAGUGGGGUGACGCAAGCCUCAUGGCCUUAUGGUAGGGCUCACACGUCAUACAAUGGUCGGACGAGGGUGCAAGCGCGAGUGGAGCCAUCCUUAAGCCGAUCGUAGCCGGAUCGAGUCUGCACUCGACUACGUGAGUCGGAUCGUAGUAUCGCGAUCAGCUGUCGCGUGAUACUUCCGGGCUUUACCACGCCGUCACACAUGGAGUGGUUCACAGAGUAGUAGCUAUCUCGGAGGCGCUACACGUGAGAUCAUGACUGGGUGAGUCGUAC
rnacentral:rRNA from 1 species